rnacentral:rRNA from 1 species
GACGAACGCUGGCGGCGUGCCUAAUACAUGCAAGUUGAGCGAUGAAGAUUGGUGCUUGCACCAAUUUGAAGAGCAGCGAACGGGUGAGUAACGCGUGGGGAAUCUGCCUUUGAUCGGGGGACAACAUUUGGAAACGAAUGCUAAUACCGCAUAACAACUUUAAACAUAAGUUUUAAGUUUGAAAGAUGCAAUUGCCUCACUCAAAGAUGAUCCCGCGUUGUAUUAGCUAGUUGGUGAGGUAAAGGCUCACCAAGGCGAUGAUACAUAGCCGACCUGAGAGGGUGAUCGGCCACAAUGGGACUGAGAAACGGCCCAAACUCCUAAGGGAGGCAGCAGUAGGGAAUCUUCGGCAAUGGACGAAAGUCUGACCGAGCAACGCCGCGUGAGUGAAGAAGGUUUUCGGAGCGUAAAACUCUGUUGGUAGAGAAGAACGUUGGUGAGAGUGGAAAGCUCAUCAAGUGACGGUAACUACCCAGAAAGGGACGGCUAACUACGUG